GUGUCAGCAGCCGCGGUAAUACGUAGGGGGCAAGCGUUGUCCGGAAUUAUUGGGCGUAAAGCGCGCGCAGGCGGUCCUUUAAGUCUUGUGUUUAAGCCCGGGGCUCAACCUCGGUUCGCAUGGGAAACUGGAGGACUGGAGUGCAGGAGAGGAAAGUGGUAUUCCACGUGUAGCGGUGAAAUGCGUAGAGAUGUGGAGGAACACCAGUGGCGAAGGCGACUUUCUGGUCUGUAACUGACGCUGAGGCGCGAAAGCGUGGGGAGCAAACAGGAUUAGAUACCCCGGUAGUCC
rnacentral:rRNA from 1 species